AUCAACAGCUGGCGGCGCGCUUACACAUGCAAGUCGCACGAGGAAAAGGGGCAACCCUGAGUAAAGUGGUGUACGGGUGAGUAACACGUGGAUCAUCUACCUCUUGGUGGGGAAUACCCCCCGGGAAACUGGGGGACAAUACCGCAUAAGCUCGUGAGAGGAAAGCCGAAAGGCGCCGAGAGAGGAGUCCGCGUGCCGAUUAUGCUAGUUGGUGAGGUAACGGCCCACCAAGGCGACGAUCGGUAGGCCGGCCUAGAGGGCACACGGCCACACUGGCACUGAAACACGGGCCAGACUCCUACGGGAGGCAGCAGUGGGGAAUCUUGCACAAUGGAGGAAACUCUGAUGCUAAGCGACGCCGCGUGAGCGAUGAAGCCCCUCGGGGUGUAAAGCUCUUUCGACGGGAACGAUAAUGACGGUACCCGAAGAAGAAGCUGCGGCUAACUACGUGCCAGCAGCCGCGGUAAUACGUAGGCAGCAAGCGUUGUUCGGAAUUACUGGGCGUAAAGAGUGUGUAGGCGGUGUCGCAAGUCUGGUGUGAAAUCUCCCGGCUCAACUGGGAGGGUGCGCCGGAAACUGCGGUGCUCGAGGGUGGGAGAGGAAAGCGGAAUUCCCGGUGUAGCGGUGAAAUGCGUAGAUUAUCGGGAGGAACACCUGCGGUGUAGACAGCUUUCUGGACCACUUCUGACGCUGAGACACGAAGCGUGUGGUAGCAAACAGGAUUAGAUACCCUGGUAGUCCACGCCCUAAACGAUGCAUACUUGGUGUGAGCCAUUCAUUUGGUUCGUGCCGGAGCUAACGCGUUAAGGUAUGCCGCCUGGGGAGUACGGUCGCAAGGCUGAAACUCAAAAGGAAUUGACGGGGGCCCGCACAAGCGGUGGAGCAUGUGGUUCAAUUCGACGCAACGCGAAGAACCUUACACUGGGCUCGAACGGCUCGUGAACGAGGGUGGAACAACCUUUUCUUUUUAUUCCGCAAGGGACUAGAGUCGAGGUGCUGCAUGGCUGUCGUCAGCUCGUGUCGUGAGAUGUUGGGUUAAGUCCCCGCAACGAGCGCAAACCCUUGUCCUGUGUUGCCACUCUCCCGCAAGGAAGCACUCAUCAGGAGACCGCCAGCGAUAAGUUGGAGGAAGGUGGGGAUGAUGUCAAGUCAUCAUGGCCUUUAUGUCCAGGGCUACACACGUGCUACAAUGGGCGGUACAAAGCGCUGCAAACCCGCGAGGGGGAGCUAAUCGACAAAAAACCGUUCUCAGUUCGGAUCGCAGGCUGCAACCUCGCCUGCGUGAAGCUGGAAUCGCUAGUAAUGCGUAUCAGAAUGAUGGCCGUGAAUACGUUCCCGGGCCUUGUACACACCGCCCCGUCACAUCACGAAAGUGGGAUUGUACUAGAAGUCCCCAAUUUAACGGGCCCAAGGUAUGAUUCAUGAUUGGGGUGAAGUCGGUAACAAGGUA
rnacentral:rRNA from 1 species